AGCGAACGCUGGCGGCAUGCCUUACACAUGCAAGUCGAACGGUAACAGGUCUUCGGAUGCUGACGAGUGGCGAACGGGUGAGUAAUACAUCGGAACGUGCCUAGUAGUGGGGGAUAACUACUCGAAAGGGUGGCUAAUACCGCAUGAGAUCUACGGAUGAAAGCAGGGGAUCGCAAGACCUUGUGCUACUAGAGCGGCCGAUGGCAGAUUAGGUAGUUGGUGGGAUAAAAGCUUACCAAGCCGACGAUCUGUAGCUGGUCUGAGAGGACGAUCAGCCGCACUGGGACUGAGACACGGCCCAGACUCCUACGGGAGGCAGCAGUGGGGAAUUUUGGACAAUGGGCGCAAGCCUGAUCCAGCAAUGCCGCGUGCAGGAUGAAGGCCUUCGGGUUGUAAACUGCUUUUGUACGGAACGAAAAGCCCUGGGUUAAUACCCUGGGGUCAUGACGGUACCGUAAGAAUAAGCACCGGCUAACUACGUGCCAGCCGCCGCGGUAAAAC
rnacentral:rRNA from 1 species